UGGGGAAUUUUGCGCAAUGGGGGAAACCCUGACGCAGCAACGCCGCGUGGGUGAUGAAGGCCUUCGGGUCGUAAAGCCCUGUCGGGAGGGAAGAAAUGAUUGAGAGCUAAUACCUCUUGGUCUUGACGGUACCUCCGAAGGAAGCACCGGCUAACUCCGUGCCAGCAGCCGCGGUAAUACGGAGGGUGCAAGCGUUGUUCGGAAUUAUUGGGCGUAAAGCGCGUGUAGGCGGUCUUUUAAGUCUGAUGUGAAGGCCCCGGGCUCAACCUGGGAAGUGCAUUGGAUACUGGGAGACUUGAGUACGGGAGCGGAGAGUGGAAUUUCUAGUGUAGGAGUGAAAUCCGUAGAUAUUAGGAGGAAAACCGGUGGCGAAGGCGGCUCUCUGGACCGAUACUGACGCUGAGACGCGAAAGCGUGGGUAGCAAACA
rnacentral:rRNA from 1 species